rnacentral:tRNA from 1 species
GCCCCCGUAGCUCAAUGGACAGAGCAGGGACCUCCUAAGUCCAAGAUCCAAGUUCGAUUCCUGGCGGGGGUA